CAAUUGAAUCGGAUUCUGCCGUAGACAGCCGGGGCACCGGAGAUGGUGCUUAAACAUCCUGCCGAGGUAUGAACAUACAUCCGUCCUGCGGGAUGGGUUUGUUCCCGGCCUUCGUCUGUCUACGAAGGCCUUUUCAUUUUACGGC
rfam:Desmospora sp. 8437 genomic scaffold SCAFFOLD1, whole genome shotgun sequence.